rnacentral:tRNA from 1 species
GGGCGGUUAGCUCAGCCUGGUCAGAGCACUGCGUUGACAUCGCAGGGGUCACAAGUUCAAGUCUUGUACCGCCCA